rnacentral:rRNA from 1 species
GUAGCUGGUCUGAGAGGAUGGCCAGCCACACUGGAACUGAGACACGGUCCAGACUCCUACGGGAGGCAGCAGUGGGGAAUAUUGGACAAUGGGGGCAACCCUGAUCCAGCAAUGCCGCGUGUGUGAAGAAGGCCUGAGGGUUGUAAAGCACUUUCAGUGGGGAGGAGGGWUGAUUGGUUAAGAGCUGAUUAWUUGGACGUUACCCACAGAAGAAGCACCGGCUAACUCCGUGCCAGCAGCCGCGGUAAUACGGAGGGUGCGAGCGUUAAUCGGAAUWACUGGGCGUAAAGGGUGCGUAGGUGGUUGAUUAAGUUAUGUGURAAAUCCCUGGGCUUAACCUGGGCAGGUCAKAUAAUACUGGUUGACUCGAGUAUGG